GAUGAACGCUAGCGGCAGGCCUAACACAUGCAAGUCGAGGGGUAGCAGGAUUAAGCUUGCUUAAUUGCUGACGACCGGCGCACGGGUGCGUAACGCGUAUGCAACCUACCUUAUACUGGGGUAUAGCCCGGAGAAAUUCGGAUUAAUCCCCCAUAGUACUAAUGAAUCGCAUGGUUUAUUAGUUAAAGCAUGCGGUAUAAGAUGGGCAUGCGUCCUAUUAGCUAGAUGGUGAGGUAACGGCUCACCAUGGCUACGAUAGGUAGGGGGCCUGAGAGGGUGGUCCCCCACACUGGUACUGAGACACGGACCAGACUCCUACGGGAGGCAGCAGUGAGGAAUAUUGGUCAAUGGGCGCAAGCCUGAACCAGCCAUGCCGCGUGCAGGAAGAAUGCCCUAUGGGUUGUAAACUGCUUUUAUUUGGGAAUAAACCUCUUUACGUGUAGAGAGCUGAAGGUACCAAAUGAAUAAGCACCGGCUAACUCCGUGCCAGCCGCCGCAGUAA
rnacentral:rRNA from 1 species